rnacentral:rRNA from 1 species
AUGGACAAGGAAGCAAUUCAGAAUAUACCUAUCAGUUCGAGGGCACAAGCUGACUUCUGGGGAUGGCACUAUGAGAAGAAAGGGGUGUUUACGAUGAGGUCGGCGUACCGCUUAUUAGCAGCAACAAAACAACAACGUACUGACUGGUUAGAGCAUAAAACAGGACACUCUGAUGUGGGGGCUGUUCACAAGUCAUGGUCCAAGAUUUGGAAGGCACAAGUACCAUCUAAAAUCCGUGUUUUUGCUUGGCGCCUAGCUAAGACGUCAUUGCCAACAGGGAACGCCCGGAAGGAGAGAUCCAUGGCGGACACGCCCGAGUGCUCGAUUUGCCAUGCGGCCGUUGAUAACUGGAGACACUCACUUCUCGAAUGUCAUAUGGCCAAGUGUGUCUGGGCGCUUGCGGACGAGGAGGAGCUAGAGAUGACAGCAGAUCAGCGCCCCAACGCCCAAGGAUACGCUAGGGACUUGCAUUACUUGGGGGCUUCGGCGAUGGUUUUCGACGGUCUCGUCGACCCGACGACUAUUGAAGCCCGAGCAUGCAGCGAAGCACUGGCGCUAGCAUCAGACCUAAACCUCCGGUCGAUCUGUGUGGCGUCGGACUACGCGGAGGUGGUGGCAAAUCUGGAGUCUAGAGGUCUGUGCCGCUACUCUAUGAUUCUUGAGGAGUUCAUAGCACAAAGAGUUUCUUUUGAUGUUAUUCAAGUAGUUCAUGAGAGGAUUCAUAAUGCCGAGGCUCAUUCGUUGGCCAAAGCGGCCUCCUCUCUCCCUUCUGGGCGCCACUUGUGGCUAGAUGUUUUGCCCAAUAUCAUCUGUAUUCCGUCGAAUCUUGAUAGUUAA